rnacentral:rRNA from 1 species
AGUGAACGCUGGCGGUAGGCCUAACACAUGCAAGUCGAACGGCAGCACAGUAAGAGCUUGCUCUUAUGGGUGGCGAGUGGCGGAUGGGUGAGGAAUACAUCGGAAUCUACUUUUUCUUGGGGGAUAACGUAGGGAAACUUACGCUAAUACCGCAUACGACCUACGGGUGAAAGCAGGGGAUCUUCGGACCUUGCGCGAUUGAAUGAGCCGAUGUCGGAUUAGCUAGUUGGCGGGGUAAAGGCCCACCAAGGCGACGAUCCGUAGCUGGUCUGAGAGGAUGAUCAGCACCACGGGAACAGGGACACGGGCCAGGCUCCUACGGGCGGCAGCAGUGGGUAAUAAUGCAGAAUGGGGGCGAGCUUGAUCCAGCCAUCCCGAGUGGGUUAAGAAGGCCUUCGGGUUGGGAAACCCUUCUGUUGCGGACGAAAAGCGGCCGGUUAAUGCCCCGCUCUUCUGACGGUACCCAAAGAAUAAGCACCGGGUAACUACGUA